rnacentral:rRNA from 1 species
UACGUAGGGUGCGAGCGUUAAUCGGAAUUACUGGGCGUAAAGCGUGCGCAGGCGGUUCGCUGUGUCCGAUGUGAAAUCCCCGGGCUUAACCUGGGAACUGCAUUGGUGACUGGCGGGCUAGAGUAUGGCAGAGGGGGGGUAGAAUUCCACGUGUAGCAGUGAAAUGCGUAGAGAUGUGGAGGAAUACCGAUGGCGAAGGCAGCCCCCUGGGCCAAUACUGACGCUCAUGCACGAAAGCGUGGGGAACAAACAGG